ACCUGCCCGGUUUAGUGCCUGGUUCACGGGGCAACCCACAGUCCGGGCUGGGUUUGAUAACACUGCUCUGGAUAAUCCAUAUAUGAUUUUGAUGUAAUUUUCCUGUUCAAUCAUGUGCUUGUUCCAUAAUCCUUAACAUACUAUAAUUCCAUGGUGAGCCAUAUAAUUUAUAAUGAAAAGAAAUGCAUAUCUUUGCACAACUUCCUACAUGGUUAUUAACUGAUAAGUUUGCAUAUAUAAAUUUUG
rnacentral:misc_RNA from 1 species